UUGAACGCUGGCGGAAUGCUUUACACAUGCAAGUCGAGCGGCAGCGCGGGGGCAACCCUGGCGGCGAGCGGCGAACGGGUGAGUAACACAUCGGAACGUACCCAGUUGUGGGGGAUAGCCCGGCGAAAGCCGGAUUAAUACCGCAUACGACCUGAGGGUGAAAGGGGGGGAUCGCAAGACCUCUCGCAGUUGGAGCGGCCGAUGGCGGAUUAGCUAGUUGGUGGGGUAAAGGCCUACCAAGGCGACGAUCCGUAGCUGUCUGAGAGGACGACCAGCCACACUGGAACGGAGACACGGUCCAGACGCCUACGGGAGGCAGCAGUGGGGAAUUUUGGACAAUGGGGGCAACCCUGAUCCAGCCAUGCCGCGUGAGUGAAGAAGGCCUUCGGGUUGUAAAGCUCUUUCAGGAGGGAAGAAACGGUUGAGGCUAAUAUCCUUGACUAAUGACGGUACCUUCAGAAGAAGCACCGGCUAACUACGU
rnacentral:rRNA from 1 species